AUAGUAAAACUCAAAGAGGAGGUCAACUCAUUACGUACUGAAACGAGGCAAUUCAUGUAAGAAAUUUGAAUGCAGCAUCCACCUCAAGGAAGCUCACAAAUGGGUGACAAUGAAACUUCUUCCGAAAGAUGAUGUCAUAGAAGAAAGAGAAUAUCGUUUUGAAGAUAACCCAUGUUUGUGCAAAUUAUUUUGAAGUGCAUCUUGGUAUGGAAGUCUACUGUUUUGGGAUGUUGUUUAAAAUUACGAUAUUGUAGAUUACCAUAUAUGAAUGAUGAAUGUUCUACUCUUUUUGGGAUUAUUAGGUUUUACCAUAUAUUAAUGAUGAUUUUUUGCUGUU